GAUGAAGAACGCAGCGAAAUGCCAUAAGUAAUGUGAAUUGCAGAAUUCAGUGAAUCAUCGAAUCUUUGAACGCACAUUGCGCCCGCCAGUAUUCUGGCGGGCAUGCCUGUUCGAGCGUCAUUUCAACCCUCAGGCCCCCAGUGCCUGGUGUUGGGGAUCGGCCCAGCCUUCCUGUAAGGCCGCCGGCCCCGAAAUCUAGUGGCGGUCUCGCUGUAGUCCUCCUCUGCGUAGUAGCACAACCUCGCAGUUGGAACGCGGCGGUGGCCAUGCCGUUAAACACCCCACUUCUGAAAGUUGACCUCGGAUCAGGUAGGAAUACCCGCUGAACUUAAGCAUAUCAAUAAGCGGAGGA
rnacentral:misc_RNA from 1 species